AGGUCUAUAACUCAGUUGGUACAGUAAUUACCUAGCAGGUGAGAAGUCUUGGGUUCAAUUCCCAGUAGAUCAG
rnacentral:tRNA from 1 species